rnacentral:rRNA from 1 species
UACGUAGGGUGCAAGCGUUGUCCGGAAUUAUUGGGCGUAAAGAGCUCGUAGGCGGUCUGUCACGUCGGGCGUGAAAAUCCAGGGCUUAACCCUGAGCUUGCGGUCGAUACGGGCAUGACUGGAGUUCGGCAGGGGAGACUGGAAUUCCUGGUGUAGCGGUGAAAUGCGCAGAUAUCAGGAGGAACACCAAUGGCGAAGGCAGCUCGCUGGAACGGUACUGACGCUGAGGCGCGAAAGCGUGGGGAGCGAACAGG